rnacentral:misc_RNA from 1 species
UGGCUCUCCCAUCGAUGAAGAACGCAGCGAAAUGCGAUAAGUAAUGUGAAUUGCAGAAUUCAGUGAAUCAUCGAAUCUUUGAACGCACCUUGCGCCCUUUGGUAUUCCGAAGGGCAUGCUUGUUUGAGUGUCAUUAAAUUCUCAACCUUGAAUAGCUUGCUAUUGAAGGCUUGGAUGUGAGGGUUGCUGGCUUCCUUCAGUGGCGGUCUGCUCCCUUUAAAUGCAUUAGUGAGAUCCUUUGUGAAUCGUUCACUUGGUGUGAUAAUUAUCUACGCUGCUUGAAUGUGAAGCAAAACCUAUGGGAACUCGCUCAUAACCGUCCUUAGGGACAAUUUAUUGACCAUUUGACCUCAAAUCAAGUAGGACUACCCGCUGA